UAUUUUUGGUAGUAAUAUGUGGGUAUACUGUAUUACACUAUGACAUGAAUGUUUAAUAUUGAUAUUUUACCUGAACAAUUUUUGUCAGUACGAAAAGAAGUACUUGUGAAGGAAAUAAAUUAUUUUUCUAAAUAUGCAUUUAUUGAACUGUUGAAUAAAUAUUCUGUCAUUUCAAAAUAAUUUUUAAUUAUUAUCAAUAACCCAUUCUCUAUAAUGAUCACUCAUACAUUUCAUUAUGACUACUUUAUAAACACUACAGGAAAUCAGUUUGAUUUUAUGCCUGCUACUAAACGCGUAAUUAUCUUUACUAAAUCUUUUAUAGUUUCUAAUCAUUCGUUUUGUUGGUGGAUUACAAAAAAUUUAGUUAAAACAACCAAAUAUAUGAUUGGCAAUGGGUAAUCAAAUCAUUUUCUUGUCAUAACUAAAAUUUAGUUGUCAGAAAAUUUUUUUCUCAGUGUGACGUUACCUAAAUUUAAUCUAAUGAAUGAACGUUAAAGUAAAAAAUACCCGGCUUUGCACGAUUUUGAAAACAUUCAUUUAAUUUAAAUUUAUAAUCUAUUAUAAAAUAAUUUGAUACAUCAUAUUUUGAUAUAUUUAGUUUCACAAAUAAUUAUUUAUCAAUAAUAAUAUUUUUAGUUGUAAUUUGUUUUUAUAAAAAUUAUAGAAAAACGCCUCAAACAUUUCAAGUGAGCGACUAAUGGUACUGAGCGGGCAUAGGGGCUUUUACUGUACUAAUAAUUGGAAAUAAAAAAAAUUAUCAAUUCGGAAUUUAUAUAAAUAAUUAAUGAAACGAACGAUAUAUUAUUUUUAUCGGAAUGUCGACUCGGGUAGACCGACGUAAAAGUGGUCCUCUGAAUCUAAUAAAAAUAAAAGUAUGAGUAUUUUUAUUUUUUUUCUAAGUCUCAGGUAAACUCCUUUCUUCCUUCUCGGCAAUCUGGAGUCUCUCAAACAGUCCAGCUAAUGUAAAUGUAGCGUAGAGGUGGUGGUUAAAGACUCCUCCUGCUAAUAAAAGCCGCUCACUAGGCGCCGUCACAUACAAACAGUUACAGGCUGCCAGAGCACUGAUAAAUUCAAGUGCAAGUGAUUGGUGAACAUGAGGCUGUAUAUUAUUAUUUCGUGUUUAAUUUUAAUUGUUAAUUCCUAUCCUCUGAGGGAUGAAUAUAAUUCAGAGGCAUCGGAUCAUUAUUUGACUUUGGUAAAAGAAAACAAUGAUGCUGCUUUAAGAAGUAAAAGGACUGUUGGAGUUUUACGUCAAUUUUUUCCCGAAAUAACUGAGAUGAUUGACGGUAUAGUGAACAAGGUAGUCUCCGAGGUGAUAAAAGCUGUGGGUCCAGCAUUGGUACAGAAUUUACUAGGCGGAAAUCGUAAAGAGAAUGAUGGAAAUACCAGAAAUAAUGACGAAGGUAGUGAAGUUACAGUGGCGCUACCAGCGGACGAAUUCGAAGACUCGGAUUUGAAUGCUAAUGAAAAUGAGUCUGACAUUACGGACAUAAAUAAUAAGGAUAGUUUUAGCAAAGUUAAUAUUCCUCUGCCGACUUUUCAAACUAAUGAAGUAACUGAGGCAUCAGAUGCUACGAUAUCGAGCACUUGGCCGAUUGAUUCCGUGCAAACGGAAGGAUCUAACAGUCAAGAACCAGCGGUCACAGCAACUACAGGAUCUGGAUAUAGCAGAGUCAGAGAACAAGGAAGUAAGAGUGGCAUUCGAGGAUACCGAUCAAUCAAUAAACGAAGCCAGCGCGGAUUUGUCUUCGCUGGACAACAUCGAGAUCGGAGACGACGAGAAUCGGAACAAAAGAUUUAGCGGCGGUAAUGGAGAAUCUGGAGGCAGUGGCGGUGGAUCUGGAAAUUUUAUUUUCGAUAUUAUUAGAUUAAUUGCAGGCAGUGGAUCGCCACCAAGUGACGACAGUUCACCUCACGGAAAACACGACCCCGAAGAAGCUGUCCCUGGACCAGCGACGCGAUUUUUAGUUAUUGCCAACCGAGGUCUUUCAAAUCUUAUCCAAGA